UACAGAGGGUGCGAGCGUUAAUCGGAUUUACUGGGCGUAAAGGGCGCGUAGGCGGUGAGAUGUGUGUGAUGUGAAAGCCCCGGGCUUAACCUGGGAAGUGCAUUGCAAACUGUCUGACUGGAGUAUAUGAGAGGGUGGCGGAAUUUCCGGUGUAGCGGUGAAAUGCGUAGAUAUCGGAAGGAACGUCAAUGGCGAAGGCAGCCACCUGGCAUAAUACUGACGCUGAGGCGCGAAAGCGUGGGGAUCGAACAGG
rnacentral:rRNA from 1 species